rnacentral:rRNA from 1 species
UGGGGAAUAUUGCACAAUGGGCGGAAGCCUGAUGCAGCAACGCCGCGUGAGUGAUGAAGGCCUUCGGGUUGUAAAGCUCUGUCUUUUGGGACGAUAAUGACGGUACCAAAGGAGGAAGCCACGGCUAACUACGUGCCAGCAGCCGCGGUAAUACGUAGGUGGCAAGCGUUGUCCGGAUUUUACUGGGCGUAAAGGAUGCGUAGGCGGAUUUUUCAAGUGAGAUGUGAAAUACCCGGGCUUAACUUGGGUGCUGCAUUUCAAACUGGGAAUCUAGAGUGCGGGAGAGGAGAAUGGAAUUCCUAGUGUAGCGGUGAAAUGCGUAGAGAUUAGGAAGAACACCAGUGGCGAAGGCGAUUCUCUGGACCGUAACUGACGCUGAGGCAUGAAAGCGUGGGUAGCAAACAGGAUUAGAUACCCUGGUAGUCCACGCCGUAAACGAUGAGUACUAGGUGUAGGAGGUAUCGACCCCGUUCUGUGCCGCAGUUAACACAAUAAGUACUCCGCCUGGGAAGUACGAUCGCAAGA